GUGAGUCCGAGUUGAACGGGGUUCGUCUCUUUUCGCGUCUUCCAAAACGUAUUUACUGUUCAGGUCAAACUUGACCGGCCGUGACAUUGACAGCAAUUAAAAACACCCUAAAUGUCAUUCUUUUAUCCUGAAACUUAACAACUUUGAUGAUCCAAAAUAAACAAAAAUGUCAUGUCUGAACUUUUUUUUUAACUUUUACUUUAAAGUAAAAUAAUUUGUUUUGUGGCUAAAAGAGCACCCAGUCAUGCCACCAAUCACUCCUUCACCCCCCGCCCCCACAAGAAUGUGAACACCUUUGUUCACAUCCAUGGUUAUCUGCUGUAAUUAUUAUGUAGUUUCGAUUUCAACCAGCUAGCUAGCUAGCUUGCUAUGCCCCGAAAAUACAUCUUCCUUGUAAACCAGUUUGCACAACAGCCCGGUGGCGUUAUUUAAAUAACGAAGAGGUGACACCGUGGAUGACGGUGCCGCCCGUCUGCCGACCGAAAGGAGGAGCCCGUUCGCUCAUGAGCUAGCCCCGCUACGAACCCGUGAGAUAUAUUCUAGCGGUUUCAACUGAACAUGUAGCUAGCGAUGCGUAGGUUUAAGAAAGUUGCUAAACUUUUACUAAUCUAUUUUUCAGCGGGCCGUGGUUUUAACGCUAUUUUUUUAGCUUGCUCGCAACUUAAAUACAAAGCCAACUUUCGGCGAAGCAGCAGGUUGGAAAAACUCCUAAAUUUGGGGUCGUGUAAGUCAGUGCAAGUCACUGCACGGAGUGUGACUCCUUUUGCCGCCCUCUGGUUGUGAGGCUCUACUGUCCUGUGUCUUUCCGCCAAUCACUGCUCCAUUGUUUGAAUCCAGCGCUCAGUGUUUGCGCUACAUUUGAGGUAAUUAGCCCUCGUUGGGUUUUUGUUUCAUGCUCGCUGAGGUCACGGAACCUAUUAAAAGAGCCAUAAAAGCUCUGAUGUAACGGGUUCAAUUGGAGGAAAGAGACUUUCUCCAUCCUUCUAUGCUCCCAUUUCUCCCUCUCCCUCGGUGAAGUCUGUGCCUUUCCUGUUAUGAAAUAUUAAUUGGGAAUCAGUGGAGAGCUUGUCUACUAAAUGCUGGAACAGAAGGGCCCCGUUGGCCUCCGGGCUGAAUGUUUUUUUUUAGGAGGGUGGGGGGGUGAUCAGCGCUCUCAUCCUGUUUACCUGCGGGGACACCCACCCCGGGGGUGUGCGCAGCCCCCCUGCGGCGGCCAGGCUGACAUUUCAAGUGGGAGCAUGGCAGCGGGGGCUCACUCUGUGUGGCCUGCUCGCUAAAUGAGUCCUUGUUGGAUCCAGUUAAAUGGGGACAUCCUUGAGCUGCGCUUUUCAAAGCCAUUUCCAUUUUUAGCUGUCAAUAAAUGGAAAGGGAGCGGACAUGAAAGCUCGCAAGCCCAAGAGUCCCAUUUCUGUGAAACCACUGUAAGGAAUUAUGCGAUCGGCAAUGAAUGAACGACCCGCUCUCUUAUCUCGACUUGAAAGCCAGGCCUGAAAAUGCCCCCCCCCCCACCCCCAAUCCCUCUCUCGCCUGCCCUUGUCCCUCACUCUCUCCCUGUGCUGAUGGCCUUGCCCGGGCCUGGUUUAGACGAGGGAAACUUUGCCCGUGCUGGGCCAAGCGCCACGGAAACAAAUGGGUAGUGACACGGGCGCUGAGGAGCGUGUGCGCGCGCCCCGAGGUCAUACUGCAUGAAUUCGACGCGAUGUAAAGGAGAUAAAAAUGCAGUGAUUGGGAGCAUGGUACAGUAAACCACUUAUAAAUUUUUCCACGGAAUAUAAAAUUAUUAGCCAACAAAAAUGAACCCUGAUCAUUCCAGAAUUGCAGGACAAUUAGGAUACCAAUAUUUUGGGAAAAUGAACAACUUAAACUUACUUAAUUUAAAGAUUAUUUGUUGUGUUUUCAGGGAAAAAAAUGGUAAGAAAUCAACUAUUUGAAUUUGUCCACAAACGUCAACGGUACACUUUUUAUUUGUCAUGUCACUCAGUCCUGUUAACAGAUACAAAAGUACAUGGAAAAAAAAAUUGAAAAAUAUUGCUGAAAUCAUUUCAUUCAUCAUCUUCCGUACCGCUUGAUCCUCACUAGGGUCGCGGGGGGUGCUGGAGCCCAUCCCAGCCGUCUCCGGGCAGUAGGCGGGGGACACCCUGAAUCGGUUGAAAGAUUUUUUUUUUUUAAAUCAUCAAAUGAUUUUCUUCCGCUCAAAAUUGCAAUUGCAAUUUAAUCUGUGAAUUUUUUUAAGGUCCUCUUCCCACGUAUUUUUUUUGGGGGGGGGGGGGGUGGAUUCAUGGCAUUCCCAUCCAUUUGUAAAAAUUAUUGGCGAUAUGAAUUAAUUACGGGUGUGGACAUGGGAAAAAAAAACUUGUAUCACCACUAUAUACCGGUAGCCAUUUUUAUUUUUUAUUUUUUCUUAAUGGGGCCUGUGUGGCAUUCAUAUAUACUUUUGCUUUUCCUCUCAGGACAUGGUCCCUAACCCCGGGAGCAGAGAUUCACUGUAUAUUUUUAUUCCAGCCUGUUUAUGAAAGACGUGUCAUAAAUAGAGAGUUAGUGUGAGGGACAUCCAAGAGCGUGUGCUCCGGUGUCAACAUGCCCCCGCGUCUGCUUUUUUUUCCCAUUUCCCAUUUCCCCCUGUCGUCUACAGCGGCGGCGAGGUUGCGUCGACCACAGGGGAGACGUGAAGAAGCCAGAUAAAUAUUCAUGCAUCUGAACAUCAAGGAACCUACUCAUGCUCUACUUUAGAUAUUUCACUCUAACAUACAGUUUGAGUCUAUUUUGGCACCAAUAAAAAAAAAAGUGAUUCUUCUGAGAAUACAGUAAUCCGAUAUAAAAAUACUUCAUAAAGCCUUUGUGAAAAUCCAUAAAAAUAUUUGCAACCCACAACCCACACACGGGGCACACAAGAGGAACCGCGACCAAGCGGGGGAAUGCUGUACACUCACACGGAGUCUUCCAUCUGGCGCACCCCCAACGGACAUAAGGGGGUGCGAUGGCCCGUUGUUCGCCGCUUGCCGAGCUCAGCAUUGACAGGUUGAGGUGCCGAGUGUUGUGCAGCAAAUAACAGACGACUGCAGGGAAUGACAAUUAAUUACUAGGUUUUAAUGACUGGACUUCCUGGGCCAAGUGUGUGCAUCGGGGAGGUUGUCAUGGCGACCGUUCCAGGUUUGCUUUUUAAUACGUUCCAAAGGCCCAUGCGCUCGGUCUCGGGCCGUUACGUUAAAUAUCACGAUUUGCUAAGUGCGCCGAGCUGUAAUUAAAGUACGCGUCGAGUGGCAUUCUGCUCGGCACUCGUGAUAUCACAGCAAAGUGCUCGGGAGAAAAGGAUUCGCCGUGAAAUCAAAAAAGGGGCGCGCGCUCGUGCUGGGGAAAUUAUUAUCGCAGAAUAAUGCAUGAACGGCGGCGUUAUCUCGCGUGAGAAUCGGCGGCUCCGGCGGGCCCUCUGCGUUAAGCGUCCCCUGCGGGUAACAGCUGGAGGUCGUGCAAGGGGCUUGCUUUGCCCAUAAAUCAGUGAUUAACUCUUAACCGCUCCCAAACAAUGAGCUAUCCACUCUAAUCUGGAGGGGUGGCGGGCGCGCAGGGGUGGGUUGGUGUAAGGCUUCAAGUGUGACCACGGGAAAAAGAUUAGCCUGUUUUUAAGAGGCAGAAAGCAUGGCGAGGGUUUCUUCGGGGGAGGAAUAAAGCUUAUGAAAGGCCAUUUACAUACCAGCGCAACAGCCCCCAGCCAAAUGUUUCGCCACCCGUGUUUGCAUAACUUCGAAACGUGCACACAAUGCACGGCGGUGCUUGAAAGUUGAUGAUUGCACGGAGGGAUGAAAUGGGGAUUAUGACUCGCCUGCGAAAGUGUUGCACUUGGCAAUCAGCGUGCCACCGCAAUCAUUGAAGGGGCCAAAACACCAAACCCCGAGGAAUCGUUCAAGCACCCGCAAAGUGAAUUCAAACAUUUGUUUCGAAAUUACCUGACACAUGUUU